UCGUGCUAGGCGGGGUGUUAGCGGUACCCUGUAUCCGAAACCCGCUUAUGCGGAGCCGAAUACCUCCUGAGCCUCCCACCUGUAGUAUGGGGUUGAUGGUCUGGGAUGGUGAAGGUUGGGUCCUCCAAAGGUACUGUUCACGAAUCCGCCAGGUCCGGAAGGAAGCAACGGUAAGUGAAAAAAGGCCGGUUGGAGGGGCGCCUGACCGGAGUCUCAGCCAUCGACCACCGCUGGAGGUGGGUUGCGAGGGUGGUUGCACGG
rnacentral:SRP_RNA from 1 species